UAAAAUAAAUAGAGAAGAAACAUUUCCUUGUGAUGUUGAUGCAAUUACGGUAACCAUUUCCUAAGCCUGAUGACGAAUUACAACGCCUGUAUACAAGCGCUUUCUUUGAGAGAGGAUCUAUGUGAACCAUAUUUUAUCUUGAAUUUGUUUAUAGCCAUGGGAGAGUAAGUUACCAAAUGCAAGGAAGGAGGAAGAAAACCAUCCCACUUUCAAGAAAGAACUGAAAUGUUAUUUCAACUCCCUUGAAGGACUGAACAUGUUGCAUAUUGUUAUACGCGUGCAUUCAAAAUGCGUAAAUAAGCAGUACGCAUGGGAAAGAGAGAGAAAACGUUUGCUAUACUACGCAUUCAAAAUGCGUAAAUAAGCAGUACGCAUGGGAAAGAGAGAGAAAACGUUUGCUAUACUACGCAUUCAAAAUGCGUAAUGACACAGUACGCAUAGGAAAAAAGAAAACGCGUUUCUUUUGUUACGCAUUCAAAAUGCGUAAUGAAUCAGUACGUAUUGGGGAAAAAAAGAACACAUUCAUUGUGUACGCAUUCUGAAGGCAUCGGAAAAGGACUACCAGUGCUGACAGGCACAACAUACGGUAUAGCAAGUCAAUGAUGUGUAGCAUUAUGAAAAUGAUUGAUCCAACAGCUUGCAGUAGGCCUAAACCACCCAUCAGGUAUUCUGUUGCUUUACAUAAGGUGGCGCUUAUCAUCCAGCGCGCGUCAGUUCACAUGAUGCCUGCCUUACAAAGGCAAAGACAAGUAGCAUAACUAAACUAACAUUGAAUCUCAGAGAGAGAGAGAGAGAGAGAGAGAGAGACUAUUCAUAUCUGAAACUGGACACAUUUGGAACUUGGCUUCAUCACAAGACUUUUUCUUAUUUCUUGGAGUGUUGACGCAGGACCUGGGAGGACUUCAGAGGGGCCCCAGCAUACCAGUUUGAUACCACACCAGUGGUGCCUUCUCCAAGCUUCCAUCGCCCCCGAUGUCAUCAUCCUCAUCGUCGUCUCCACCUCUUCAGCUUUUUCUUUUUUUUUUUAAAAGAACCCCCACCCCUUAAUUCACUAAAACAGCGCUACAUUGUUUACAAGCUGUCCCCAAUACUGUAUAUUACUGAAGUAAUAUCUUAAUUCAAUUACAACACAGUGGUAAACACACAAGUUAUCAGUCAUACAUAUCUCCUCCACUGUUCAGAUUCAAAGCAUUCUCCUAUGGUUGUCGAUUCAAUGUGCCAUGAACCUUCCAUUUCCUCCUCACUUAUGCGUUAAAGCCCACAGUAUGAAUGUAACAUGUACCAUGGGGAGCAUUCCAAUAUGCAGACUUCCUUGCUCACUUGCCCGCUUGUGACCUUACGUAUGAUGAAGUCAAAGACGACAGAAAAUGUAUUCAAUGUCUUGCAAAAUGCACAAUUCUAAUGUAAUUUCAUCGUUUGGAAUUGGGAUGGUGAAUGAAGAACAGUCCCCCCC